AUGAACGCUGGCGGCGUGCCUAAUACCUGCAAGUCGAGCGCACAGACGAGGAGCUUGCUCCUCUGACGUUAGCGGCGGACGGGUGAGUAACACGUGGAUAACCUACCUAUAAGACUGGGAUAACUUCGGGAAACCGGAGCUAAUACCGGAUAAUAUAUUGAACCGCAUGGUUCAAUAGUGAAAGACGGUUUUGCUGUCACUUAUAGAUGGAUCCGCGCCGCAUUAGCUAGUUGGUAAGGUAACGGCUUACCAAGGCAACGAUGCGUAGCCGACCUGAGAGGGUGAUCGGCCACACUGGAACUGAGACACGGUCCAGACUCCUACGGGAGGCAGCAGUAGGGAAUCUUCCGCAAUGGGCGAAAGCCUGACGGAGCAACGCCGCGUGAGUGAUGAAGGUCUUCGGAUCGUAAAACUCUGUUAUUAGGGAGGAACAAAUGUGUAAGUAACUAUGCACGUCUUGACGGUACCUAAUCAGAAAGCCACGGCUAACUACGUG
rnacentral:rRNA from 1 species